UACGUAGGGUGCAAGCGUUGUCCGGAAUUAUUGGGCGUAAAGAGCUCGUAUGCGGUUUGUUGCGUCGGCUGUGAAAUCCCGAGGCUCAACCUCGGGUCUGCAGUCGAUACGAGCAAACUAGAGUGUUGCAGGGGAGACUGGAAUUCCUGGUGUAGCGGUGAAAUGCGCAGAUAUCAGGAGGAACACCGGUGGCGAAGGCGGGUCUCUGGGCAACAACUGACGCUGAGGAGCGAAAGCGUGGGGAGCGAACAGG
rnacentral:rRNA from 1 species